rnacentral:rRNA from 1 species
GACGAACGCUGGCGGCGUGCUUAACACAUGCAAGUCGAGCGGUAAGGCCCUUUCGGGGGUACACGAGCGGCGAACGGGUGAGUAACACGUGGGUGACCUGCCCUCAGCUCUGGGAUAAGCCUGGGAAACCGGGUCUAAUACUGGAUAUGACUCCAUGACGCAUGUUGUGGGGUGGAAAGCCUUGUGCGGCUGAGGAUGGGCCCGCGGCCUAUCAGCUUGUUGGUGGGGUGAGG